rnacentral:rRNA from 1 species
AAAUUGAAGAGUUUGAUCAUGGCUCAGAUUGAACGCUGGCGGCAGGCCUAACACAUGCAAGUCGAGCGGUAGCACAGAGAGCUUGCUCUCGGGUGACGAGCAGCGGACGGGUGAGUAAUGUCUGGGAAACUGCCUGAUGGAGGGGGAUAACUACUGGAAACGGUAGCUAAUACCGCAUAAUGUCGCAAGACCAAAGUGGGGGACCUUCGGGCCUCAUGCCAUCAGAUGUGCCCAGAUGGGAUUAGCUAGUAGGUGGGGUAACGGCUCACCUAGGCGACGAUCCCUAGCUGGUCUGAGAGGAUGACCAGCCACACUGGAACUGAGACACGGUCCAGACUCCUACGGGAGGCAGCAGUGGGGAAUAUUGCACAAUGGGCGCAAGCCUGAUGCAGCCAUGCCGCGUGUGUGAAGAAGGCCUUCGGGUUGUAAAGCACUUUCAGCGGGGAGGAAGGCGAUAAGGUUAAUAACCUUGUCGAUUGACGUUACCCGCAGAAGAAGCACCGGCUAACUCCGUGCCAGCAGCCGCGGUAAUACGGAGGGUGCAAGCGUUAAUCGGAAUUACUGGGCGUAAAGCGCACGCAGGCGGUCUGUCAAGUCGGAUGUGAAAUCCCCGGGCUUAACCUGGGAACUGCAUUCGAAACUGGCAGGCUAGAGUCUUGUAGAGGGGGGUAGAAUUCCAGGUGUAGCGGUGAAAUGCGUAGAGAUCUGGAGGAAUACCGGUGGCGAAGGCGGCCCCCUGGACAAAGACUGACGCUCAGGUGCGAAAGCGUGGGGAGCAAACAGGAUUAGAUACCCUGGUAGUCCACGCCGUAAACGAUGUCGAUUUGGAGGUUGUGCCCUUGAGGCGUGGCUUCCGGAGCUAACGCGUUAAAUCGACCGCCUGGGGAGUACGGCCGCAAGGUUAAAACUCAAAUGAAUUGACGGGGGCCCGCACAAGCGGUGGAGCAUGUGGUUUAAUUCGAUGCAACGCGAAGAACCUUACCUGGUCUUGACAUCCACAGAACUUUCCAGAGAUGGAUUGGUGCCUUCGGGAACUGUGAGACAGGUGCUGCAUGGCUGUCGUCAGCUCGUGUUGUGAAAUGUUGGGUUAAGUCCCGCAACGAGCGCAACCCUUAUCCUUUGUUGCCAGCGGUUAGGCCGGGAACUCAAAGGAGACUGCCAGUGAUAAACUGGAGGAAGGUGGGGAUGACGUCAAGUCAUCAUGGCCCUUACGACCAGGGCUACACACGUGCUACAAUGGCAUAUACAAAGAGAAGCGACCUCGCGAGAGCAAGCGGACCUCAUAAAGUAUGUCGUAGUCCGGAUUGGAGUCUGCAACUCGACUCCAUGAAGUCGGAAUCGCUAGUAAUCGUAGAUCAGAAUGCUACGGUGAAUACGUUCCCGGGCCUUGUACACACCGCCCGUCACACCAUGGGAGUGGGUUGCAAAAGAAGUAGGUAGCUUAACCUUCGGGAGGGCGCUUACCACUUUGUGAUUCAUGACUGGGGUGAAGUCGUAACAAGGUAACCGUAGGGGAACCUGCGGUUGGAUCACCUCCUUACCUUAAAGAA